GACAGAGGUCCCAAGCGUUAGGCGGAAUCACUGGGCUUAAAGCGUGUGUAGGCGGACUUGUAAGUACCUUGUGAAAUCCCACGGCUCAACCGUGGAACUGCUGGGUAUACUGCGAGUCUUGAGCCACCUAGGGGCGAGCGGAACAAGUGGUGGAGCGGUGAAAUGCGUAGAUAUCACUUGGAACGCCAAUGGUGAGAACAGCUCGCUGGGGGUGUGCUGACGCUGAGACACGAAAGCCAGGGGAGCAAACGGG
rnacentral:rRNA from 1 species